rnacentral:RNase_MRP_RNA from 2 species
UUCAUGGGCAAAGAUUCGUUUUCGAAGCUUUCAAAAAGAUUCUAGUAGUCAUUAAUGCUUUGGGGAAAGUCUCCGGCCAUAUAUGCGGAAACGUAACAGAUUCAUCCAUCUGUUUGAAACUAUAGCAAGUUGAAUGCUAGGUGAUCAUUGAGUAGUUGCUUGUUCUUCUUGCUAAUUCCUUUUGAAUUCUACUGCUCUGUUAAGGGGCAGCUCUGGCAUUCAAGAAUUUGUCAUACUAUUCAUGUUACUGAUUAUCCGGCUUUAUUUGAUUUUAUUAUAGUUUUAUCCUGCCCAUUAGGUUUUUCCUGGUGGUGUUUCUUUGAAAUUCGGCAAUGGGAUGUUGAUUCCUAAACGAUAGUUAUAACGAAUGAUUAUCAUUUUGGUAAUUAACCCAAUGGAGCUUAUUCUUGAACCAUGA